GUGCAUGCUACUGACAAACUAUCGCGAGACACGUUGCUAUAACGACAGAUGUACACAGUUUCCACAAGCGGUCCGGUGUUGAUGACACUUCAGUGGAAAUUACAGCCUGUGAAGCUUACAGUCUGAUCAGAGAGCACCAUGAAUUUAAACAACUUUGUGGUACUUCCCAGCAAGCCCAAGUCAAUGAAGUUAAAUGUCAGGAAUCUCCGGGAACUGCGUAUGGAAACAGUGCAGCUGGAUCAACAUGCCAAGGAGAUGGAGAGCAGACUGGAGGAGCUCAGACAGCGUAUGAACCAGGAGAAAGAGGAGAGGGAGAAGAUGGGAGCUUCUCACUGGCGUUCAGCACAGCCAGGGAUUCAGAGCGUCAAGACGAACAAGGAGAACGCACCUCACAGACUCUCUCCAGGCAAGAUGAAGAUUAGAGUGCUGAAGGACGAGCAUGUGCCAGCUGCAGCUGUACAGAAGCAGGUAAUAGCGGAACCAGCCGCCAAGGUACAUGGCACUAACAGGAAGCUCAACCUGAGGGGAAAAGUCUGUGGACAGUGUGAAGUUCAGCUGGCCGGACUGAUGUGUGCGGAAUGCGGAGAGGAUUAUUGUGUGGGCUGCUUCGUCAGAUUCCACCAGAAGGGGGCACUGAAGCGCCAUCGUAUGGUUCCCAUACAGGCAGAGCUCCAGACCCCUGUCAGCACUCGGGAUGUGUUGGGCCACCUCCAGCAGCAGGUAAGCGGCGAGGAGAAUCAACAUACACGAGGUGCAUCCCACAAAGCCGCUGAUGAAAGUGAAGCCACAGAGAAAAGAUCAGCUCCUAGGAGCCUUCAGCCCAUGUCUGAUAACCAAAUGCACCACACACAGGUGUUGUUCGUGAAUGACGGUGUUGACGUGGAGGAUGAGGAGGCAGCUGAGGAAGAGGACAGCUCUCUGCUGAGAGGAGGCUUUGAUGAAGAGGAGUCAGCCAGGUCCUUCCAGGAGGCUCUAAAAGAGUGGAGAGAGAGAGGACAGAGACCAGUGUCUGUGAUGGAAACACAAACAGAGAAAGGAUCCCAGCAGUUAAUUCAUGUGGAGUUCAAGGAGGACACUUUGAGCUACAUGGAGAAACUCCUCUUGAAAAAACACCGCAGAGGACAAAUUGAAGAAUUUCAGCCCUGGUCUGUCGUCCCACGCCGGCUGGAGCCACCCACACCUCCACCUGCAGAGAUAGAUGAACUGAGCCGAAAACUGACAGCAGAGCGGAUGGAGUUGCAUAAAUACUUUACUUCUCUCUUCAUGAUUGCUCCCACUGAGGAUGCUGGGAAAGCGGACAGCCCUGCAGAAUCCUGUUUAAGCGUUGUAGAGUUAGAUGAGAUGGUUGAAGAUGCUACAAUGUACAGAUCCUUUGGAGUCAAGCAGGGAAAUGAGAGCAAAAUGUUUGCAGCUGUUGGAAAUGGAGGAGAUUUUGGAUAUUCAGUUUUGCCUUCCACACCAUGCUUCUCUGAGAUGACCAAAGGAUUUGUCGGUGAAUGUAAUUCUGACGUAAAGAUCAACUCUUCUCCUGAGAUGUGGCCGCUGUCUCAAGAGGCUGAACAAUCUUCGUCAUCAUUGCCAAGAUCAGAAAACUUUUUUCCACUUCAGACGAGGCUUCAGAGAUCACAGCACCUGUCGACUACCUCAGACUCAUUUCUGUCAAAUUCACGAACAGGAGGCCAGAAAGUGGAACUCUGUGACACUCCAAAACCAAUCCCACGGACAAGAUCUUCUGCAGCACAGCAGGACAAAUCCUCAGAGCUUCUGCCAACAUCAUCUCCUUCACUCCCAAAAACCAAAUUAAAUCAAACUCUCGCAGGUUUUGAGGACCAUAUUUCCACUGUCAGCCUCUCUCCUGGUGGAAUACCAUCUGUUAGGUCUUCUCAAUGUCAUUCUCCUGCUUUUCUCAUCUCUAAACAAAGUCCAAAACCUCCAGAUUCUCCAUCCCCAAGGUCUAGAUCAGUUUCUUCUCCAGUAAACCCAGUCCAAUCCAGACCUGCUCAUUCAACACCUGUUUCUGAACCGAAAUUAGCUCGACUGUCUCCAGAACGUGCCAUCACUUCCCCAAGCCCUGCAGUUCCUUCAUUAAAGCUGUCAUUUAGAGAAUCAACACAGUCUGGAUUAGUCUCGGAUAGAAGUAUACCUACUACGCCUAUUUAUGACUCCCUCAGGUCGUCAGUGAGGGUCAAAUCUUCUCAUACUGAAGGUCAUCGUUCACCUCUGGCCUCCAAAUGGUUAAAAGGCUCACGGAAGUCACCCAAAACCACAAUGCUCUCCUUACAGCUGAGCAUAUCAGAUUCAGAAGAGGAAAUGACAGGUGAAGAUGCUUGCCUGGUGCCCAGUGAGGAAGACUCAUCUGAUGAAGAACUAAGACGAAUCACAGAUGCAGAAGAACAAAAGAAUGGCUUUUCCUCUCUGUACCUCACCACGACCCCUCCGGCUGACCCUCAUUUCACCUUCACAAACCUCUCAAAGUCUGAAGACGACAACACAGAACCAGACCUUUUUACAGGAUUUUCUCAGGCUGUUCAUUCAGUAGCCCAGAGACAGGACAUCCAGCCGGGGCAGUACCAAGACCUAGAGGGGAUCCUGACUUUGGGACUGGACCCUGGAGCCCUGCAGCCCAGCCCAGCUCCAGCGCAAACCUCUAGAGAAGAGCAGAACCACACAGGGAGUUCACUAGUUAUAGGGCAGGAGUCAUGGAGAUCCAGCAGCAGUCUUCAGCAUCACGCAGAGGAAGAGCUGGUCGCUGCGCUGAUGAACGCUCGGCCCGUCAGUAGCACCCCUCGUCCCCUCGCUCCAGGCCGUAGCAGAGUGUCAUCACACAGGCUGUGUUUCUCAGGCACCAUAAGCAGAUCUCUCAUACCCAUCUCUUCUCGGCCCCUGAGUGCCGGGACUCGUCGACCGUUGUCUCGUGCCGCUCAGGAGAUCAUGGAGGUCCAGACCGUGGAGCAGCUCGAUCUCCAGGACUCUGAUGAGGAUGAGGAGGAUUGCCUGGCUCUGGCCUGCCUUGAGGAAGAGUUCAGACAUAUGAGCAGUACACCAUUAGAUGAGGGAGUAUUGACAGGGUCACACAGAUGAAGAGGAGGAGAUCUUCAUCAGGAAUGCUCUUGCUAUGGGGGCGUCUGAUGACCUGAGACUGAUUACAGCACUAUCACUAUCCUCCUGAAAUCCAGCCAAUCAAAGUCAAAACCCUGCAGUCCCCCCAUGCUACCAUACACCUUAUAUUUCAUUACAGUUUUGGUUGUAAAUUUGCGAAAAUGUUCAAUUCUUUUUCAUAGAAACUGUUUUGAGAGAUUCACAGGCUGGAUUCCUCGUCCCUCACCGCUGCGCUCUGGAGCUGGACGCUGGGAAAGUGUUGCUUUGGUCACUGGUAAAGUAUCCGCUAAAUGACGAGAAUCCAAUUGCCGUUUUAACUUUUCUAAUUAGCUGCUAAUGGCUUGACAGGGUUCGUGAGGGUUCUGGAGGAAGAGAAGAUGAAAGCGUUGAAGACUGCAUGAAGCAGCAGUGUGCAAAUGGCAUGGAAAGCAGAGGGAUUUCCCCUACAGAGAGAGAGAAUCCGCCACUGGUCACUGAGUGCAGACAGGAAACCAUUAGCGCUGACAUAAGUGCUCCCGCCGGACACACAGAGACAGAGACAUCAGGCGAGCUGAACAGAACGGCUGGACGGAAAUGGCUGGAGCAGCAGCAGCGUGUCUAGAAUAAAAACUAGGCAUUUGUCAACUGAAAUGUGCAUGUAUUGCAUACUGAGCUGAUCUAUCAUUCCGGUGACGGGUCUCCAGUUGGACCCACACAGAUUUUUCCACCUUGUGCAUAAUCCAGCCGCUGGAGAACAGCAGCAGGAUUUUCAUGUGUAGAAACAGCCACCAGCACCAUAAUCAAGAUCUACUGCUGCUGCACCUUCUUGACUCGACCAGUCUGGUCUUCUGCAUCAAGCAGAGCCACAUGAAUGGAUGAUUGGGUGAAUUCUGCGAGCUAAUUUGAUGCGACAUGCUUGAAACAUCGACUGGGAAGUGGCCCAUGUCCUUGAUGCUUCUGAGAAUCGAGCUGGAAAACCGAACUGCAGCCCAUGAUCUCCAGCGCAUGAAGGAUCCAGCAUCCUUUCCAGCCUCAUUAAUGGCGGAGCAUCUGCAGUCCAGUCGCCGACGGCCCGUGGGACUCCAGUGGACGCGCGGAAGAAUAAAGGUUUUCAUUUCCCCACAGGAGGAGAGACUGAAAGCAGCUGUAUUUGUCUCCACCACUGACCAGAAUAUUCAUUCAGCUGACAAUGAUGCAGCUACAGUAUGUGUGCUGUAUUUGAGGAAGUCCAUGUCUUUAUUGUCAUGUGUAAUGCAAGAAGCCAAAGGAGCAGAAAUGAAGGGAACACAGAACAUGGUGUUAAGACGCGGCAGGAUGUCAUGCUAACAGCUCCUCUGUCUGCGGGUCUGAUAUGUUCAUCAUAAGCUAGAACUCCAUUACAUGUCCUGAGCUAUGAACAUGCGACCUCUGAGCAACGGGUCCACGAGCCAGAAGUGCUCUACACCCCACGUACCCAUUGGACACAUGCGGCGGAGGCCCCUGGGACUUGAGAGGAGGUUUCUGUGCCACCGGACAACAUGAUGAACACAUGUCCUCCGAGCCCCAGAGGGAAGCAGAAGGAAGCCAUAGACUGCCGUUGGAAUGACAGCAAAAAAUGGAACCAUGGAAACGACUCUCCCAUGGCAUCUGACAGACUCUUCCCGCAUGCAUCUGUUGUGAAUGUUAUAUGGCUCAUACACCUGAGAAGAAGUCGACUGUGCAUGCAAGCAAAGUGUUGAUUGGAUUCUGCCAGCUCAUCCUUGCUGCGCAUAU